rnacentral:rRNA from 2 species
GAUUUAUUGGGCGUAAAGCGAGCGCAGGCGGUUUUUUAAGUCUGAUGUGAAAGCCUUCGGCUCAACCGAAGAAGUGCAUCGGAAACUGGGAAACUUGAGUGCAGAAGAGGACAGUGGAACUCCAUGUGUAGCGGUGAAAUGCGUAGAUAUAUGGAAGAACACCAGUGGCGAAGGCGGCUGUCUGGUCUGUAACUGACGCUGAGGCUCGAAAGUAUGGGUAGCAAACAGGAUUAGAUACCCUGGUAGUCCAUACCGUAAACGAUGAAUGCUAAGUGUUGGAGGGUUUCCGCCCUUCAGUGCUGCAGCUAACGCAUUAAGCAUUCCGCCUGGGGAGUACGGCCGCAAGGCUGAAACUCAAAGGAAUUGACGGGGGCCCGCACAAGCGGUGGAGCAUGUGGUUUAAUUCGAAGCUACGCGAAGAACCUUACCAGGUCUUGACAUACUAUGCAAAUCUAAGAGAUUAGACGUUCCCUUCGGGGACAUGGAUACAGGUGGUGCAUGGUUGUCGUCAGCUCGUGUCGUGAGAUGUUGGGUUAAGUCCCGCAACGAGCGCAACCCUUAUUAUCAGUUGCCAGCAUUAAGUUGGGCACUCUGGUGAGACUGCCGGUGACAAACCGGAGGAAGGUGGGGAUGACGUCAAAUCAUCAUGCCCCUUAUGACCUGGGCUACACACGUGCUACAAUGGAUGGUACAACGAGUUGCGAACUCGCGAGAGUAAGCUAAUCUCUUAAAGCCAUUCUCAGUUCGGAUUGUAGGCUGCAACUCGCCUACAUGAAGUCGGAAUCGCUAGUAAUCGCGGAUCAGCAUGCCGCGGU